AUUGAACGCUAGCGGGAUGCUUUACACAUGCAAGUCGAACGAGUGGCGGACGGGUGCGUAAUGUAUCGGAACGUGCCCAGUAGCGGGGGAUAACUAAUGGAAAGGGUGGCUAAUACCCCAUACUAUUGGAGCUGCCAAUAUGGGAUUAGCUUGUUGGUGGGGUAAAGGCUCACAAAGGCGACGCUACCUAGCUGGUUUGAGAGGAAGACCAGCCAAACUGGUACUGAGACACGGCCCAGACUCCUACGGUAGGCAGCAGUGGGGAAUAUUGGACAAUGGGGGAAACCCUGAUCCAGCCAUCCCGCGUGUAUGAGAAGGCCUUCGGGUUGUAAAGUACUUUUGGCAGAGAAGCGGUACCUGCAGAAUAAGCACCGGCUAACUACGUGCCAGCAGCCGCGGUAAUAC
rnacentral:rRNA from 1 species